rnacentral:siRNA from 1 species
AAAGCUUCGACGAUAACACGGUGG